rnacentral:rRNA from 1 species
UACAGAGGGUGCGAGCGUUAAUCGGAAUUACUGGGCGUAAAGCGCGCGUAGGCGGCUUUGCAAGUCGGGUGUGAAAUCCCCAGGCUUAACCUGGGAACUGCAUUCGAGACUGCAUUGCUAGAGUAUGGGAGAGGGAAGUGGAAUUUCCGGUGUAGCGGUGAAAUGCGUAGAUAUCGGAAGGAGCAUCAGUGGCGAAAGCGACUUCCUGGACCAGUACCGACGUUCAGGCACGAAAGCGUGGGGAGCAAACAGG